ACAGAGGAGAGAAGACCCUUGAAAGAUGUCCACCUCAGAGAUCUGUGCACAGAUGUCCUCCAUGCUUAGACUGUCUCUAGCCAAACUGGAGGUGCUCUGCUGGUGAUCAUGUGGAACCCCUUGUGUCCUGAGCCAGCGGUGAGGAGUUUCACCCCUGCUCCCCUCUCCCCAGUCUUACCUGGGGACUGGUUUUGAUUUCUGCAUUUUCUAGGAGGAUUACAAAUCUUCAGGACAGACUGUGGAUGAAGCCAACAACCAAGAAAAGCAGAGAAAACACGUCAAAAGAUCCUGGGGACGUGUAUGGCCAUUUAUCCCUCAAUCAACCCAUACUGAAACCUGCCUUAGACUGAGUUUCCUGUUCCUGGCAAUAAUAAAUGACCUGUCAUUUCAACCA